rnacentral:rRNA from 1 species
CAUGAACGUUGGCGGCGUGGAUUAGGCAUGCAAGUCGCGCGAGAAGUCAUUUAGCUUGCUAAAAGACGGACAGCGGCGGAAGGGAGAGUAACGCGGGGUUAUGUACCCUCCAGACCGGGAUAGUGUCGGGAAACUGGCCGUACUCCCGGAUCACCUCUUCGGAUCACAUGCUUUGAUUCCCCUCGACGAUCGGACCGCGUACUAUUAGCUAGUUGGAGGGGUAAAGGCCCACCAAGGCUUAGAUGGUUACCGGGUGUGAGAGCAUGGCCCGGCUCACUGGGACUGAGACACUGCCCAGACAUCUACGGAUGGCUGCAGUCGAGAAUCUUCGGCAAUGGACGAAAGUCUGACCGAGCGACGCCGCGUGCGGGAUGAAGGCCUUCGGGUUGUAAACCGCUGUCAGUUAGGAGGAAAUCCAUGAGGGUUCUCUCUCAUGGUUGACCGAUUUUCAGAGGAAGGACGGGCUAAGUUCGUGCCAGCCGCCGCGGUAACAC